CUGAAGGGUUAUAUCAAGAAGUCGAAUGAGGAAGUAACGCUCUGAAAGGCUUCCCCUGCGUCGAAUUGCACGUUUUUCAGUAAGGAAAAGCGUGAGCUCGGUUAAUAGGCAUGAGAAUUUACCGUAACAGUUUCGGCUGACGAAAGCCUACCCGAUGGGGUGGUGUAAAUCAUGGUGCUUGGGUUGAACAG
rfam:Bacillus cereus E33L plasmid pE33L466, complete sequence.